UACAGAGGGGGCGAGCGUUAUUCGGAAUUAUUGGGCGUAAAGGGCGCGUAGGCGGCCUUUCAAGUGACGGGUGAAAUCCCACAGCUCAACUGUGGAACUGCCUCGGAUACUGGGUGUCUCGAGGGUGGCAGGGGUAUGCGGAACUAUCGGUGGAGCGGUGAAAUGCGUUGAUAUCGAUAGGAACUCCGGUGGCGAAGGCGGCAUACUGGUCCACUUCUGACGCUGAGGCGCGAAAGCCAGGGGAGCAAACGGG
rnacentral:rRNA from 1 species